rnacentral:rRNA from 1 species
UACGGAGGGGGCUAGCGUUGUUCGGAAUUACUGGGCGUAAAGCGCGUGUAGGCGGCAGCGUGUGUCGGGCGUGAAAUCCCACGGCUCAACCGUGGAAGUGCACUCGAAACUGCGCAGCUAGAGUCCUGGAGAGGAAGGUGGAAUGCUUGGUGUAGAGGUGAAAUUCGUAGAUAUCAAGCGGAACACCGGUGGCGAAGGCGGCCUUCUGGACAGUGACUGACGCUGAGACGCGAAAGCGUGGGGAGCAAACAGG